GGCAAAUUAUAAUAUUCUCUUAGUGCAUUAAAAUAGUGCGCAUUAUAGAAAGUGAGACCUGUGUUAUUAUGAGUGAAGGUUCACACGUAUCAGGUGUAGUGUAAUAAUUUUCCAUUCAAAACAGUGAGUUCAAAUAGUCCCAAGGGCAGCUGUCUUUCUCUGAUUGGUUAUUAGAUUUCCAGGGAUGGAGGAAAAGAUGUGAAAUACACAGAGUAGAUCAGAAGUUCCAUGAUGCAUUGGAUGUUGCAUUUAUAGGUUUGAACAAGACGGAUCUAGG
rnacentral:misc_RNA from 1 species